GGACUUCCUAUAUCAUCCACAAAAGAAACUCUCCUUUAUGGUUGGAGCAGAACAACCAUAAAGUGAGAAAAACAUACCCAAAAAUAGAACCAACAAGUUACCUCAAAGCAACAUUCAACUUUACCGAAACGCCCAGAACCGAGGCCACCUACAUUCACCUCGCCACGCGACAAGUUACCCAUGCAGGGAAUAACUCGCCAUGUAGCUUACUCUGGUGAGCACUAAGUGCCACGAGGAGCACAAUCUCUGCAAAAUCGCCUGCCGCCAAUGCUACUCGCCAUGUAUGCUCUGACCUAAGGAAACCCCGCUCUCGACGAGGAUCCACUCGGGAAAUCUCCUCGUCCACGGGCGAGCUGUUCCCUUCAUCUCAUUGCUCAUGUUGAGGUUUAACAGACAUCUUUAUCGAACCAACACAUAUGGACUUACUCACCUAAAUCUCCAACAGCUUCAAAUAAGCUUUCUGGAGAACCCGGCGAUGUGUCUACCUCGGAGAUUUCCAGUUAUCUGAUCUUCUGUUCUUCGGAUACGGCAAUGAUGCACAACUUCAGCG
rnacentral:lncRNA from 1 species